UAGGGAAUCUUCCNGCAAUGGACGGAAGUCUGACCGAGCAACGCCGCGUGAGUGAAGAAGGUUUUCGGAUCGUAAAGCUCUGUUGUAAGAGAAGAACGAGUGUGAGAGUGGAAAGUUCACACUGUGACGGUAUCUUACCAGAAAGGGACGGCUAACUACGUGCCAGCAGCCGCGGUAAUACGUAGGUCCCGAGCGUUGUCCGGAUUUAUUGGGCGUAAAGCGAGCGCAGGCGGUUAGAUAAGUCUGAAGUUAAAGGCUGUGGCUUAACCAUAGUACGCUUUGGAAACUGUUUAACUUGAGUGCAAGAGGGGAGAGUGGAAUUCCAUGUGUAGCGGUGAAAUGCGUAGAUAUAUGGAGGAACACCGGUGGCGAAAGCGGCUCUCUGGCUUGUAACUGACGCUGAGGCUCGAAAGCGUGGGGAGCAAACAGGAUUAGAUACCCUGGUAGUCCACGCCGUAAACGAUGAGUGCUAGGUGUUAGACCCUUUCCGGGGUUUAGUGCCGCAGCUAACGCAUUAAGCACUCCGCCUGGGGAGUACGACCGCAAGGUUG
rnacentral:rRNA from 1 species